CACCUGGCCCCAGAGCACCCAACACCCAAGUAGCCUGCCCAUGGGAGGGAGGGCAGGGCUUAGGCCUUGGACUGCAGGACAGAGGCAUCAUAUGCAGCAUGGGGGAAGGCCACGGUCAUCCCAACUUUUAGCAGGAGGAAGAGAGCCUGCAGAGACCAGGCUGGGCAGUGUGGCUUCGACUUCUCAGCAAAUACUAAAGCAGCGGAUGACAGGAUGGUGAGGGGCCAUACAGAAAAGGGACUCGAGACGACUGAGGGCCUGUGUGACGUCAUGGAGACCAGGUUAUGCCAGCCUGACCUCAGGCCCUCUUUGCAUGGGGUCACUGAACUGAUGAGCAAGCUAAGGCCAGAGACCUGACAUAAGGGGGCGUGCCUACAUCCCGCAAGGAGUAAAGUGGAGAGCCGGGGGUUCCAAGGACUCUCUGCCUCUGUGGUGUGCAGACGCCAGAGCUAGGAAGGGAGAGGAAGAAGCAGAGGACACAGACUGAUGCCCCCUCUGAUGCCUGGGCUCAGGGGGGCCGCCUUCCCAGAACAGAGGGGGCCCAGAGACAUGCUGAUGAUGACAGUCUGGGAAGGAGCAAAGGCCCCGGGCUCCACACGCGGCUCAGCUUUCUGAUGCCAUGAAGUUCACAACUCCAGGAAGGGCAUCAAGGCUAACCUCUUCAUCUGGCAGAGGAGGAAACUGAGGCCCAGAGAGGUGAGUCACCUGCCCAGGGUCACCAGCCAGGAAGCCUCAGACACACAAUUUGAAUCCAAGUUCUUGACACAGAAUACCAUUGUGUCUCUCCAGUAUGGGGCAAGCUGACUGUGCACAGACUCCAAGCCUUGUUAUUUAAAAAACCAAGGUUCAUUUUGAAGGGCCUCCACCCUUAGAAGGGCCUGGCCUCCUCAAGAGUUUUAUUAGUCAUGUGGUGUGCAGAGUGGAUUUGUGGAAGACAAACUCUAGAAGCUGAUAGGCCUGUCUCAUGGAGGAGGAAUUCUUCUGGUCCUGCUUGGCCACAGAGGGUCUAUGUGCCCGUGCCCUGGCACCAGGAAGGCCGUCAGCAGGCAGAGGACUCUCCUGAAAACAAGCAAGGCUGACCGAGGUGGUCCUGGCCCAGGAGGCAGGAGGAAGCAUUCCAUCAAGGCUUGGAAUUCCACGAUCGCCAUCAAACCCCAAUUCAGUGACUGAGCAAGAACGGUAAAGCCAGACCCCAAAACAGUCAUGUUAGAGGGUGAGCUCCUAGACAGCAGGGACUGUUUUGGGGACCUCUCUUUGUAAUCCCAGAACUUACAGUAUAGUGCCUAACAAACAGUGAGGGCUUAAUCAAUGCUUGAUGAUGACAAAAGCCACACCUAUGGGAUUUCAUUUCAGAGUUCGAGGUGCUAACUAGCAGCAAGCAGCAGAUGAAGAAAGCCUCUGAGGGUGAGUGGGCCCCAGAAACGGCUGACAGGCAGGGGAGGGGAGACUGCCUCCCGAGGGACAGCUGGCUCGGCCUCCUUCUAACAGGAUGGUCUUUAUCUGCAGCCUCAAGUAUUGCCCCCUGAUUGUCAGACAGUAGGAAGGCCCCUGCUGAUGCGGGGCUGGAGCUUGGGAGAGAGACUGAGGGUGGGGGACAUGGAGACCCCGGAGUCAUCUGCAUGGAACCGUGGGAGACAGAGGGGAGCACAGGCAGGAAGGCCUGGACUGGAAUAGACCACCAGGGUGCCAUGGAAGGCAGUUAACAUGUCUCUAUCCUCACCUCAUUCUGGAGAGAGGGCUGGAUUUGAAGUGCGGCUUGCACUGAUUUGCUGUGCGACCCUGGACAAUUCAUUCCACUGCUCGGUGCCUCAGUUUCCUGAUAUGUAGAAUGCAGACAAUCACACUCCCAGGGUGUGGUCGAGAUGGGCAUUUUACCCAACUAUCCCAGUGUGAGUGGUGUUGUCUCAGCGAGCAUUUGAAUGGGGAAUCCAUUCUGGAGAGACUACAGUGUUGGAGGUCGGGCCCGGAGGGGGCCCUUCCCGAGGAGCAGGGUGAAAGGUCCUCGAAGGCAGGGCCGGUCUUUUAUCAUCUGGGUGUCCGCGGUGCCUGGCACAGCGUCGGGCACACAGGAGCCAGGUAAGCUGCGCUUCCCGCCUUCCUCUAACAUCCUCCAGGACCAAGGAGAAGCAGCCCAGAAUCUCAGAAUUCUGCAGAAUUUGGAAAGCGCUUGGAGCCAGCCCCCACGCCUCAGGACAAGU